rnacentral:rRNA from 1 species
GACGAACGCUGGCGGCGUGCUUAACACAUGCAAGUCGAACGGUAAGGCCCCUCGGGGUACACGAGUGGCGAACGGGUGAGUAACACGUGGGUGAUCUGCCCUGCACUUCGGGAUAAGCCUGGGAAACUGGGUCUAAUACCGGAUAGGACUCCGGACUGCAUGGUCUGGGGUGGAAAGCUUUUGCGGUGUGGGAUGGGCCCGCGGCCUAUCAGCUUGUUGGUGGGGUGAUGGCCUACCAAGGCGACGACGGGUAGCCGGCCGGAGAGGGUGACCGGCCACACUGGGACGGAGAUACGGCCCAGACUCCUACGGAAGGCAGCAGUGGGGAAUAUUGCACAAUGGGCGCAAGCCUGAUGCAGCGACGCCGCGUGAGGGAUGACGGCCUUCGGGUUGUAAACCUCUUUCAGCAUCGACGAAGCGAAAGUGACGGUAGGUGCAGAAGAAGGACCGGCCAACUACGUGCCAGCCGCCGCAGUAA